UACGAAGGGGGCUAGCGUUGUUCGGAAUCACUGGGCGUAAAGCGCACGUAGGCGGAUGUGCCAGUCCGGGGUGAAAUCCCGGAGCUCAACUUCGGAACUGCCUCUGAUACAGCACGUCUUGAGUCCGGAAGAGGUGGGUGGAAUUCCUAGUGUAGAGGUGAAAUUCGUAGAUAUUAGGAAGAACACCGGUGGCGAAGGCGGCCCACUGGUCCGGUACUGACGCUGAGGUGCGAAAGCGUGGGGAGCAAACAGG
rnacentral:rRNA from 1 species